UACGGUCAUAUCACGCUGAAACACCGGUUCUUGUACGAUUACCGAAGUUAAGCAACGUCGAGCCUGGUCAUUACAUAGUUAGAUAACCGCUUGGGAAUACUAGCUGUGGUC